CCUACGGGGGGCAGCAGUGGGGAAUAUUGGUCAAUGGGCGCAAGCCUGACCCAGCAACGCCGCGUGAAGGAAGAAGGCUUUCGGGUUGUAAACUUCUUUUCUGAGGGACGAAGAAAGUGACGGUACCUCAGGAAUAAGCCACGGCUAACUACGUGCCAGCAGCCGCGGUAUUACGUCGGUGGCAAGCGUUAGCCGGAUUGAGUGGGUGUAAAGGGCGUGUAGGCGGGAAGGCAAGUCAGAUGUGAAAACUCAGGGCUCAACCCUGAGCCUGCAUUUGACACUGUUUUUCUUGAGUGCUGGAGAGGCAAUCGGAAGUCCGGGUGUAGCGGUGAAAUGCGUAGAUAUACGGAGGAACACCAGUGGCGAAGGCGGAUUGCUGGACAGUAACUGACGCUGAGGCGCGAAAGCGUGGGGAGCAAACAGGAUUAGAUACCCGUGUAGUC
rnacentral:rRNA from 1 species